rnacentral:misc_RNA from 1 species
GAUGAAGAACGUAGCGAAAUGCGAUAAGUAAUGCGAAUUGCAGAAUCCGUGAGUCAUCGAAUCUUUGAACGCACAUUGCGCCCGCCAGUAUUCUGGCGGGCAUGCCUGUUCGAGCGUCAUUACAACCCUCAGGCCCCCGGGCCUGGCGUUGGGGAUCGGCGGAGCCCCCCGUGGGCACACGCCGUCCCCCAAAUACAGUGGCGGUCCCGCCGCAGCUUCCAUCGCGUAGUAGCUAACACCUCGCAACUGGAGAGCGGCGCGGCCACGCCGUAAAACACCCAACUCUUCUGAAGUUGACCUCGAAUCAGGUAGGAAUACCCGCUGAACUUAAGCAUAUCAAUAAGCGGAGGA